GCAUUUCCUCUUUUUUAACAAUGUGUGGCUGUUCUACUUGGAACAAAGCCAUGCCAGCUUGGACAACUGCAAAGAGAAUACUCUUGGCAUAAAAGAACACCUCCCUCCCUGGGAAGCUGUAGCAAGUUGUGCCAUGAUGCUAAAUUUCUAGUAAAUGGGGAUAAAUGGGAAAUCUGAAACAUUUGUUACAUUAUUCUGAAUAAUUUCAAUUACGGUUUUAACUAUAGAUUGUAGAAGUGAAUAAAGAAUGUCAAAUUCCAGGAUUUCAGCCAGUACAAGGGUCCAUUUGCUUGAGACUUCUACUUAUGGCAGGUAUAAAUGUCAAUAUUGGAGUGGUAACUGGACAAGAUGAUAAAGACAAAAAUAAAAUAUUGAACAAAGACCAAAGUCAGCAGAGCAAAGAGCAGAAGAGAGAUGAGAAAAAGAAGAAGAAAGGUCAGAAGA